rnacentral:rRNA from 1 species
ACUCAAAGGAAUAGACGGGGGCCCGCACAAGCGGUGGAGCAUGUGGUUUAAUUCGACGCAACGCGAAGAACCUUACCUGGGCUCGAACGGCUUCUGACAAGUGGUAGAAAUAUCGCCUUCUCGCAAGAGACAGGAGUCGAGGUGCUGCAUGGCUGUCGUCAGCUCGUGUCGUGAGAUGUUGGGUUAAGUCCCGCAACGAGCGCAACCCUCGUCCUGUGUUGCUACCCGCAAGGGGCACUCUCAGGAGACCGCCGGCGAUAAGCUGGAGGAAGGUGGGGAUGACGUCAAGUCAUCAUGGCCUUUAUGUCCAGGGCUACACACGUGCUACAAUGGACGGUACAAACCGCUGCAAACCCGCGAGGGGGAGCUAAUCGGAGAAAACCGUUCUCAGUUCGGAUCGCAGGCUGCAACUCGCCUGCGUGAAGCUGGAAUCGCUAGUAAUGGCGUAUCAGAACGACGCCGUGAAUACGUUCCCGGGCCUUGUACACACCGCCCGU